GCUCAGAUUGAACGCUGGCGGCAGGCCUAACACAUGCAAGUCGAACGGUAGCACAGAGAGCUUGCUCUCGGGUGACGAGUGGCGGACGGGUGAGUAAUGUCUGGGAAACUGCCUGAUGGAGGGGGAUAACUACUGGAAACGGUAGCUAAUACCGCAUAACGUCGCAAGACCAAAGAGGGGGACCUUCGGGCCUCUUGCCAUCAGAUGUGCCCAGAUGGGAUUAGCUAGUAGGUGGGGUAACGGCUCACCUAGGCGACGAUCCCUAGCUGGUCUGAGAGGAUGACCAGCCACACUGGAACUGAGACACGGUCCAGACUCCUACGGGAGGCAGCAGUGGGGAAUAUUGCACAAUGGGCGCAAGCCUGAUGCAGCCAUGCCGCGUGUAUGAAGAAGGCCUUCGGGUUGUAAAGUACUUUCAGCGGGGAGGAAGGUGUUGUGGUUAAUAACCGCAGCAAUUGACGUUACCCGCAGAAGAAGCACCGGCUAACUCCGUGCCAGCAGCCGCGGUAAUACGGAGGGUGCAAGCGUUAAUCGGAAUUACUGGGCGUAAAGCGCACGCAGGCGGUCUGUCAAGUCGGAUGUGAAAUCCCCGGGCUCAACCUGGGAACUGCAUUCGAAACUGGCAGGCUGGAGUCUUGUAGAGGGGGGUAGAAUUCCAGGUGUAGCGGUGAAAUGCGUAGAGAUCUGGAGGAAUACCGGUGGCGAAGGCGGCCCCCUGGACAAAGACUGACGCUCAGGUGCGAAAGCGUGGGGAGCAAACAGGAUUAGAUACCCUGGUAGUCCACGCCGUAAACGAUGUCGAUUUGGAGGUUGUGCCCUUGAGGCGUGGCUUCCGGAGCUAACGCGUUAAAUCGACCGCCUGGAGGAGUACGGCCGCAAGGUUAAAACUCAAAUGAAUUGACGGGGGCCCGCACAAGCGGUGGAGCAUGUGGUUUAAUUCGAUGCAACGCGAAGAACCUUACCUGGUCUUGACAUCCACAGAACUUUCCAGAGAUGGAUUGGUGCCUUCGGGAACUGUGAGACAGGUGCUGCAUGGCUGUCGUCAGCUCGUGUUGUGAAAUGUUGGGUUAAGUCCCGCAACGAGCGCAACCCUUAUCCUUUGUUGCCAGCGGUUAGGCCGGGAACUCAAAGGAGACUGCCAGUGAUAAACUGGAGGAAGGUGGGGAUGACGUCAAGUCAUCAUGGCCCUUACGACCAGGGCUACACACGUGCUACAAUGGCGCAUACAAAGAGAAGCGACCUCGCGAGAGCAAGCGGACCUCAUAAAGUGCGUCGUAGUCCGGAUUGGAGUCUGCAACUCGACUCCAUGAAGUCGGAAUCGCUAGUAAUCGUAGAUCAGAAUGCUACGGUGAAUACGUUCCCGGGCCUUGUACACACCGCCCGUCACACCAUGGGAGUGGGUUGCAAAAGAAGUAGGUAGCUUAACCUUCGGGAGGGCGCUUACCACUUUGUGAUUCAUGACUGGGGUGAAGUCGUACAGGGGAGCCCAUAUA
rnacentral:rRNA from 1 species